UACGGAGGGUGCGAGCGUUGUCCGGAAUCAUUGGGCGUAAAGGGCGCGUAGGUGGCCCAGUCAGCGUGCGGUGAAAGCUCGGGGCUCAACCCCGAGUCGGCCGUGCGAACUACUGGGCUGGAGCACUGUAGAGGCAGGCGGAAUUCCGGGUGUAGCGGUGGAAUGCGUAGAGAUCCGGAAGAACACCGGUGGCGAAGGCGACCUGCUGGGCAGUUGCUGACACUGAGGCGCGACAGCGUGGGGAGCAAACAGG
rnacentral:rRNA from 1 species